rnacentral:rRNA from 1 species
UGAGUAAUGUCUGGGAAACUGCCUGAUGGAGGGGGAUACUACUGGAAACGGUAGCUAAUACCGCAUAACGUCGCAAGACCAAAGAGGGGACCUUCGGGUGCCUCUGCCAUCGGAUGUGCCCAGAUGGGAUUAGCUAGUAGGUGGGGUAACGGCUCACUAGGCGACGAUCCCUAGCUGGUCUGAGAGGAUGACCAGCCACACUGGACCACUGAGACACGGUCCAGGACCUCCUACGGGAGGCAGCAGUUGGGAAUAGUUGCACAAUGGGCGCAAGCCUGAUGCAGCCAUGCCGCGUGUAUGAAGAAGGCCUUCGGGUUGUCAAAAGUUACUUUCAGCGGGGAGGAAGGGAGUAAAGUUAAUACCUUUGCUCAUUGACGUUACCCGCAGAAGAAGCACCGGCUAACUCCGUGCCAGCAGCCCGCGGUAAUACGGAGGGUGACAAGCGUUAAUCGGAAUUACUGGCGUAAAGCGCACGCAGGCGGUUUGUUAAGUCAGAUGUGAAAUCCCCGGGCUCAACCUGGGAACUGCAUCUGUACCUACUGGCAAGCUUGAGUCUCGUAGAGGGGGGUAGAAUUCCAGGUGAGCGGUGAAAUGCAGAGAUCUGGAGGAAUACCGGUGGCGAAGGCGGCCCCCUGGACGCCAAGACUGACGCUCAGGUGCGAAAGCGUGGGGAGCAAACAGGAUUAGAUACCCUGGUAGUCCACGCCGUAAACGAUGUCGACUUGGAGGUUGUGCCCUUGAGGCGUGGCUUCCGGAGCUAACGCGUUAAGUCCCGAAACCGCCUGGGGAGUACGGCCGCUAAGGUUAAAACUCAAGAAGAAUUGACGGGGGCCCGCACAAGCGGUGGAGCAUGUGGUUUUAAUCGAUGCAACGCGAAGAACCUUACCUGGUCUUGACAUCCACGGGAAGUUUUCAGAGAUGUAGAAUGUUCCUUCGGGGAACCGUGAGACAGGUGCUGCGGUGGCUGUCGUCAGCUCGUGUUGUGAAAUGUUGGGUUAAGUCCGCAACGAGCGCAAUCCUUAUCCUUUGUUGCAGCUGUCCUCGGGAACUCCAAGGAGAGCUGACAGUGAUAACCUGGAGGUAGGUGGGGGAUGAC